CAGGGAAAAAGGGAGUGUACAAUUUAUUUAUUUUUUCCUUUUUGAGUCUGGCUCUAAUUCCACCCUUUUUGCCUGGCUUUGUUACCGCUGGAUCUCAUCUGGAAACCUCACAGAGAAUGCAACUUCAUGGGAAUAAUAUUGCAUUUGAAAAUCAGAGUACAAUCCUUAUGUGAGACAGGAGAAGAAAUCCAGGUAGUGUAACAGGAACGCCACUAACCGCAGCAGAAUUGCAAUAUCCAUUCCUCUAUUGUUUGCAUUGCGAGCUAGCUGGUGUUGGUUAGCUCAAUCAGCUGUUUAAGGUAGCCUCCUCAGUGAACAGAUAGGCAUGGAAAGACCUGAGACUAGCAGAGCAAUGAGCAGAAUCAAUUACCUUAUUUUCAGCCAAUUAAACUUCUUGCACCACCACUCUUGCAUACUCUAGGGGUAUUCUCUUUUGUUGUGUUUAAGUAGCUGUAGAGGGUGUGCUAUCCAACAUGCUGAAAAUGUUGAAGCUAGGGUAGCUAGCCCUAGUCUUUCCCAUUGGGGUCCAUUCUCUCCUGCCAGCUGUCUCUUCGAGCCGCCACAAGGUAUUUCCCCUGUUGUCAGCUGAUCUUUCCCAAAAGUCACUGGAAAAAAUCUUUUAGCAUCCCAUACAAAGGAAUGGAAUGGAAUUGAAUCCUCAUAAGAGAUCUGAGCUCUCUCAACUGUUGCUGUACCUAAGGAAAAACCACAAAGUGCUUUCUGGAAGCCUGGUGAGAGAGUACUGAAAAGCAUCUAAAUAGUGUCUAAAGCAUUUACAUGCCACUUUCACUUCACUUUCCCAGAAAGAGGUACUUCUAUGGCAAUAAAAAGCAUUACUUUCUCCAAUUGCUCCAUUACUGAAAGACUUGCUAAUGGUCACCCAUUUCUAUGGUUCCAGGAAGGAGACGUUAGAUUACCACUGGCAAAAGUAUUGGCAGAGAAGACAGAGAGUGGAUCACAAUGGCGACUAUGUCCACCUUCUACCAUGUCCACACUAUCCGCCCCGUUCCGGCAUGGUCAGAAUCCUUUAAAAGAUCGGCCUUGUAGACCUGCUAAACCACCAUGGUAUCACAAAGGAAAGGCAGGAGCAUGAGCAUUCCACCAUCAUGGACAAUCCACCAGACGUCAAUAUAUCCAUCAGUAAAGCGCUCAUGGUUGCUGGGAUAAAAUGACACAUUUUUUGGGACCAUCAGAGCCAAGUGGGCAGCUGUAGUACAGCGGACUAUAUCUACAGGUUUUCCAAGCCCGUGGGUCUUCACUUUGUCUCCAGCCAUAUGGCCAUCCCAUAACAACUGUGUUGUGCUUCAUGCCUCCCAGACCGCAGGACUGGAUCAAAUGUGCGAGCCCCUCUCUCACUUUGGAGGCUACCACCACCUGACAGAAGCCCUUCACCCGCUCAAUCUCCAUCAUGUUCUUUAUUGCCUGGUGAUGAGUACAAACACAGCACAACCAUGGAAACCAACUAUGAAAUCAAUGUCCAUUGCUUCUACUUUAAUAUAUAAAUGUUGCCUCUUGCUAUUUCUUGAAAAGACACAAGACCAACAACAAAUAUUGAAUAUGUUGCAAAGUACAUCCACUACAGUUCAUCUGGAUGAAGAUCAUUGUGCAGUAGUGGCCAAAAGUAAAGUCUGGAGAGGAUAAUUGUUUGUAAUGGUUCUACAAGUUUGAUUAAACCAUCAACAUAUUAGGAAAAUUUUCAUAUUUUGCUAAAUAUUUUAAAUAUUAAGGAAGAAUAAAAUGUCAAUUUUCCUAAGCUGGACAACACUUUUGGCCACUACAGUAUUUGCAUCUGUAAUUUAAGAGCACAGUGCACAAGGUGAUGAUAAAAGUGCAUGUAAAAACCUGUUCUGAUGCUUGUGUUUCCCCAUAGCAUUCCAGGAAGUUUCCCUGUAUCACAGAACCUACGAUGGUUAGGCCUUUCCCUGCCUUCAGCUGUGAGGCAAAGGAGGCGGGGAGCUCCUGUCAGAGACUGAAGACCUGCACCCACUGUGGAGAAGAAUGAGCCAAUCACAAUGACCCAAGGAGAAGGCCAAGACAGUGUGCCAACCACCAAGUUUUUUCUGACUGCAUCUCCAAAUCUAAAAGACAUACGCAAAAGGAAAAAAGAUUCCGACUAAGAGGGUGAAGGAAGUGGCAAUGUCAGCCGACACAUAGAAGCCAAAGGUCUCCAUGGAGCCAUGGACAUCGACAGAGGACAGACUUGCCUUUUCGAGAAUCUGCCCUUUCUCCAUAUGACAUGCUGUGAACCAGACAAGUGUGUCCUUACCUUUAAUGAUCCCACUGGCCAGCCCAGGAAUGCCUGGGAUCUCUGUAACAUUGUUCUGAAAGAAGUACUCAUCACAAUGAGCACUGCUGGAAUUCUCAGAGCUGCAGAAGUUCUUCCAAAGCUUGCUGCAACAUAAAGACUUACGGAAACUCAGGAGGGUGGAAGAUGGAUUUGACCGCUCCAGCGUAGAUAGACACAAUGGAGAUUAUGACACAGGCCAAGAACAGGGAGGCGAAUUUGUUGACAUACUUGACCCCCACAAAGACAACUACAGCCAUAAGGCUCAAACAUAUUGUGCCAUACACUCGCAUGUUAUUCAGCAUUGCACCACUCCCCGCAUGAAUAUCUGCGGGAUGGAAUAUGGCAGCCUGGGGAAUCAGAUAUUUCUGUAGACAAAAAGAGUUGAUGAAUUAAUAUUUUCAGAGCUGGAUCAUUUUAGGUUUUGAAUCUGUGUGUGUGUGUGUUGUCAUAGUAUAAGAAGACUGACCAGAAAUAUUUCAAUUGCUCCCAGUAUGUACAUGGCAGCAGCGAAGGUUGUGCCUAAAUAAAAACAGAGACCAACUGCACCACCGAACUCAGGGCCCAGAGACCGAGAUAUCAUGAAAUAGGCCCCACCAGCUGCCAAUUUAAAAACAAAUAGAUAAAUACAUUUGUGUGUGUUUGUAACUACUGUAAAAUAUUAUAUAGCCUAAUACAAAGGUGUAUAAACACUACAAAUUACCUGGAACUACACCAUUGGUGGCUAUGGCACUCAUCGAGAUUGCUGUUAACAUUGUCUGUUAAAAACAAGAUUAAAUCAUACAUUUAAGCAUAUUAA